UACGUAGGCAGCGAGCGUUGUUCGGAAUUACUGGGCGUAAAGAGUGUGUAGGCGGUGCUCUAAGUUCGGUGUGAAAUCUCUCGGCUUAACUGGGAGGGUGCGCCGGAAACUGGAGUGCUCGAACGUGGGAGAGGAAAGCGGAAUUCCUGGUGUAGCGGUGAAAUGCGCAGAUAUCAGGAAGAACACCAGUGGCGAAGGCGGUGAUCUGGGCCGAUACUGACGCUGUAGAGCGAAAGCGUGGGGAGCGAACAGG
rnacentral:rRNA from 1 species